UACGGGGGGGGCAAGCGUUGUUCGGAAUUACUGGGCGUAAAGGGCUCGUAGGCGGCCAACUAAGUCAUACGUGAAAUCCCUCGGCUUAACCGGGGAACUGCGUCUGAUACUGGAUGGCUUGAGUUCGGGAGAGGGAUGCGGAAUUCCAGGUGUAGCGGUGAAAUGCGUAGAUAUCUGGAGGAACACCGGUGGCGAAGGCGGCAUCCUGGACCACGACUGACGCUGAGUGAGCGAAAGCCAGGGGAGCAAACGGG
rnacentral:rRNA from 1 species